rnacentral:lncRNA from 1 species
AUUGCUUGUGAGCAGUUAAACCUCAGAGAGUCCCACAAGAAGCUGUGCCUUGGCACCUGAGAGCUGAGAUAGUGGCUCACAGCAGCACCAACCUAAGGCACAAGACUGAAAACGAUUCCUGUUCAGAGCAGCCAGGAACACGAUGUGGGUUUUCAGAUUUCCUUUAAGCAGAUGAGAGCACAAAGCUGAAGUGAGCAGCCUGGGCUGGUGCUGCAGGUAAGUGUUAGAGCUCACUCAGUGGACUGUGGGCAGAACUCUUGGCUCCCUUGUGCUUACCUUAGAAGUCUUCAAACAGUAA